rnacentral:rRNA from 1 species
AUUGAACGCUGGCGGCAGGCCUAACACAUGCAAGUCGAGCGGAGCGGCGGAAGGGUGAGUAAUGCCUAGGAAUCUGCCUGGUAGUGGGGGAUAACGUCCGGAAACGGGCGCUAAUACCGCCUACUAUCCGAUUAGCCUAGGUCGGAUUCGCUAGUUGGUGGGGUAACGGCCUACCAAGGCGACGCACCGUAACUGUUCUGAGAGGAUAAUCAGUCACACUGGAACGGAGACACGGUCCAGACUCCAACGGGAUGCAGCAGUGGGAAAUAUUGGACAAUGAGCGAAAUCCUGAUCCAGCCAUGCCGCGUGUGUGAAGAAGGUCUUCGGAUGGUAAAGCACUUUAAGUUGGGAGGCGUUACCAACAGAAUAAGCACCGGCUAACUUCGUGCCAGCAGCCGCGGUAAUAC